GCGAGCCGGAGCGCGUCUCUCCAGACGCGGGCUCCGAGUCACGACUGGGCUCUCGCUGGCAUCCACUGGCAACAGCGUUGCAGCCCCUCUGCAGGUUUGACGUCAGGGAAGGCGAGAUUUUUCCACACGACAACCCUGGAAUUAAUGGGAGAAAACCCAUUAUACAUUAGCUCAGCCACCAAGACAUAAUGUAUUUUACACACGCUAAAUCAUGCUCCGCUCGCCCAACACAUUAACAAGAUGCAUCUUAUAAACUUGGUCUCUUAAUGUUGUUGGCAAGGUGGCAGUAUUGCCUACAAGUACAAAAACUUGAACGUUGUUGUUCAGACUGUCUUUAUUUCAAAAGAAUGAAGUGUGUUGUUUUAUAAAACUCACAACCCUAAAUGGAAGGAAAGAAUUAGCAGAUACAGGAGUUGCUCAAACUUAAAACAGAGAUUUACCUGGAGAAGGAGAGAUUUUUCUAGAGAAAAGGAUUUUUCUAGAACCAAAAAUAUUCCCACAGCCCUUAGAAAAGAGAGAGAUGGGUGCCUACCAUGUCCAUGGCAGUGAGUUUCUCACCCCUACUGGGAAGAGAGAAAUAGGACCAACUAAAAGCUCUUAAACUUCUCAGAGUCCCUAGUUGCCAGGUACAUUACUUCUUAGUACAUUCCGGGAACCCACAUGAGAACAGUUGUAAGUAUAAGCCCAAUUCCCCAAACACACACCCCCCC